GAUGAAGAACGUAGCGAAAUGCGAUAAGUAAUGUGAAUUGCAGAAUUCAGUGAAUCAUCGAAUCUUUGAACGCACAUUGCGCCCGCCAGUAUUCUGGCGGGCAUGCCUGUUCGAGCGUCAUUUCAACCAUCAAGCCCCAGGCUUGUGUUGGGGACCUGCGGCUGCCGCAGGCCCUGAAAACCAGUGCCGGGCUCGCUGUCACACCGGGCGUAGUAGAUUUUAUCUCGCUCAGGGCGUGCUGCGGGUUCCGGCCGUUAAAAAGCCUUUUUUACCCAAGGUUGACCUCGGAUCAGGUAGGAAGACCCGCUGAACUUAAGCAUAUCAAUAAGCGGAGGA
rnacentral:misc_RNA from 1 species